GAUGAAUUGCAUAGACUAUAAAUUAUUGAGUGUCGUGUAAAAGUGAGUUUGUUAAGAAUUUCUAAUCUAUAAAAAAAUACAGAGAUAUAUGAGUAUGGAUAAAAAGUAUUAGAGUAUCAGCAUCAACGUCACGCGAGCUGGAAAACAGAAAAUGCCACGAGUUAAGGAUAACUCGCAAGUACACUCAACUAGAUGUGCUAGUAGUGUACUAAACGAGUCGCAUGAUAGUCUUAUAUACACAUUCAUCUUAUAUUAUAAUAGCUACCGAUUUAUUUACCGUGGUUCAAAAUUACUGUCAAGUUAAAAAAAAAAGGGGUAUUACUAAUUUUUUUUUAAGACAUUUUUAGUAAAAAAAAAUUAAUUUUUAAAUUUAAUGAAACAAUGAUUUAUUAUGAGCAUAAAAUCCUUACACUGAGAAAAAAUGUGUAGUACAAUAAGUACUCAAUAAAUUAAUUUAUAGAUCUUUAAUUUUGAGAAAAAAUGCAUAAAUAUCUGAAGCACUAAAUUAAGAUGAAAAUAUUUUAUACGCAGAAUAUUUAGGUCUAAAUUAGAAGUUAGAGUAUUUUUAUAAGACAAUAAGUAUACGCUCAGAGAAAAAUCCAGUAAAUCUAACUAUGAAAUGACAGUUAAAUAGCGCUUUAACCCUUCAGCACUCCCGUGUUUUUUAGUGUCUCGCUUGCACUGCAGUGACAUCCGAUAGGUUGAAUAGUGUCCUGUGAGCAAAAUGCUCAUAAUGGGAGUGCUAA